rnacentral:rRNA from 1 species
UGGCCGUAAACGAUGUGGACUUGGUGUUGGAAUGGCUCCGAGCUGCUCCAGUGCCGAAGGGAAGCUGUUAAGUCCACCGCCUGGGAAGUACGGUCGCAAGACUGAAACUUAAAGGAAUUGGCGGGGGGAGCACCACAACGGGUGGAGCCUGCGGUUUAAUUGGACUCAACGCCGGAAAUCUCACCGGAUAGGACAGACAUAUGAUAGUCGGGCUGAAGACCCUACUUGAUGAUCUGAGAGGUGGUGCAUGGCGUCAGUGACU